UACGUAGGGUGCGAGCGUUGUCCGGAAUUAUUGGGCGUAAAGAGCUCGUAGGCGGUGUGUCGCGUCGGCCGUGAAAACCUGUGGCUUAACUAUGGGCUUGCGGUCGAUACGGGCAUCACUGGAGUUCGGCAGGGGAGACUGGAAUUCCUGGCGUAGCGGUGAAAUGCGCAGAUAUCAGGAGGAACACCGGUGGCGAAGGCGGGUCUCUGGGCCGAUACUGACGCUGAGGAGCGAAAGCGUGGGGAGCGAACAGG
rnacentral:rRNA from 1 species